rnacentral:lncRNA from 1 species
CCUCCCAAGGAUUAUGGUGACGAGGAAACAUGCUCAUGAAACAUUGUUAAAUUCCAGUUGGAGACCAAAAUGGCCUUCACAAGGCGUUCCUUUCCCGUCCUAUCUAUGCAGCAGAGGCCGACUGGCAGGAUCACCACAGUGUUGCUUCUGCACAUUCCAUCACUGUCCACGCGUGAGAGCCAUGACACAGGACUUGGUCCGAGGUCAAGUGUAAAUCCCAGCUGUGGAGGCUCCUCCAAGAGGUAAAAUUGUGGUAACUUCAAGGUGGCUUGAGUGCUUCAUUCUCUUGGAUUGAGAACAUCUGCAGUUGGGACACAGGUAGAAAAGCACCUGGCUUCUCGCCUUUCUAGACCUAAGCCAGGCAGGCAGUUUGGGAGCUCCCUACUCUUCCUAGUGGGUGAGGCAAACAGGAAGCCUGGAAACAAAUUUCAGACGCUGAACUUUUCCCUCCACACCAAAGAGGCUACAUAACAAAUACCGUUCUGGUGUAGAUCUAAAGAACCCAUUGAUCAACUUAAAUUCUUCAGUGGAGUGGUAUGUAAUGUGAUUUCUGAAAGUGAGAAAACUUCCAUAUAUUGUGAAUAUAUUUAAAGUCAAUAAACAUGUUAAUUCAUAAAAGUGAACCCUUACCUGUAAUUGUGGUCAAUUGAAAUGCAAAUAAUUAAAUCAUAGAUUAAAUAACAAUUUUAAUCAUGUCUUUUAAAAACAGGAACAGAAAAAGUAUAUGAAUAAAAGACUUGUUUAUUAUUCGAUGGGCACAUAGCCAAGAAAUCUGAAAAGAUGGGAAGUAACGGGGCCAUAGCAUGGAGUACACAUGAGGCACUUAGAUGGCAUUCCUUGAUUGUUCAUCACCUUGGUCAUUAAAGGAAUUAAGCACAUUAAUUCCUUAAUUAAUUAAUAAUGAAAGAAAACAAUCGAGGAAAAGUUUGAGAUCAGUCUAUUCCUGGACUGGAAAUAGAUGACUAGAUGUACAUUAGAAUUGAUGAUUCCAGGAACACUUAGAAUUGUGAAAAAUAUAGAGUACCUGCCCUCAAAGAAGCAAGCAACUUAGGAUGGAAAAAAUGAAUGUACAUAAGUCAUAUGAAGGAAAGAAGGGAAUCAGCAGCCAGGGAAGUGUCCUUGGAGCUGCGUCUGAUAAUAGCUGUGCUACGAUUAAUUAUAUAAAAAAUAAUAAUUCAAACUGGAACACUGUCAUUGCUGCACUUAUGUAUUCAAAAUGCAGCCAUAGUACUGCCAUUUACACUUGUGUCCUUUAUUGAGUUGGUGUGAAAACUCUACCGCAAAUCAACUGUGAGACAGCAGUGCAGCCAUUAUGUCCUUAUUUUACAGAUAAAGACGUUCAAGACCAUAGGAGAAUAGCACCUGUGUUAGAUAAUUCUAGAGAACACCAUUCAUAUCGUAGCCACCAAGUGACUUACUUAAGAUAGCAACUCUGGGUAAUAAUAGGGCUAAAUCUUGGCAAAGCUUCAGUGUGAGAAUAUGGGCAUUGGAGUCAGAUGGGCAUUUAUAAGCUGAAUAAACUUGGUCCUCAUGUUUGUCAUCAUUAUCAUCAUUUAUUUUCUUUGUGCCUCAGUUUCCUAAUCAGCAAAAUGGAAUAACAGUAAUUGUUUCACACAUUUGUUGGGAGGAUUAAUGAGGUAUGUAUGCAAAGCACUUAGCACAAAGUAUGUAUUUAAUAAAUAGUUCCAGUUACAUAAAUAAUAUUAUUUAGAACCCAUGAAUUUGGAUUUCUAGAUGAGAACUCCUGAUACAUUAUGCUUCUCAUGCUUUUAACAUCUAAUAAUUCCAUAUAGACAUAUCUGUUAAACAGAUAUGUGUGAAAAUAAGCAGACACACUCUUUCAC